AUGAACGCUAGCUACAGGCUUAACACAUGCAAGUCGAGGGGCAGCAUGGUCUUAGCUUGCUAAGGCCGAUGGCGACCGGCGCACGGGUGAGUAACACGUAUCCAACCUGCCGUCUACUCUUGGACAGCCUUCUGAAAGGAAGAUUAAUACAAGAUGGCAUCAUGAGUCCGCAUGUUCACAUGAUUAAAGGUAUUCCGGUAGACGAUGGGGAUGCGUUCCAUUAGAUAGUAGGCGGGGUAACGGCCCACCUAGUCUUCGAUGGAUAGGGGUUCUGAGAGGAAGGUCCCCCACAUUGGAACUGAGACACGGUCCAAACUCCUACGGGAGGCAGCAGUGAGGAAUAUUGGUCAAUGGGCGAGAGCCUGAACCAGCCAAGUAGCGUGAAGGAUGACUGCCCUAUGGGUUGUAAACUUCUUUUAUAAAGGAAUAAAGUCGGGUAUGGAUACCCGUUUGCAUGUACUUUAUGAAUAAGGAUCGGCUAACUCCGUGCCAGCAGCCGCGGUAAUACGGAGGAUCCGAGCGUUAUCCGGAUUUAUUGGGUUUAAAGGGAGCGUAGAUGGAUGUUUAAGUCAGUUGUGAAAGUUUGCGGCUCAACCGUAAAAUUGCAGUUGAUACUGGAUAUCUUGAGUGCAGUUGAGGCAGGCGGAAUUCGUGGUGUAGCGGUGAAAUGCUUAGAUAUCACGAAGAACUCCGAUUGCGAAGGCAGCCUGCUAAGCUGCAACUGACAUUGAGGCUCGAAAGUGUGGGUAUCAAACAGGAUUAGAUACCCUGGUAGUCCACACGGUAAACGAUGAAUACUCGCUGUUUGCGAUAUACAGUAAGCGGCCAAGCGAAAGCGUUAAGUAUUCCACCUGGGGAGUACGCCGGCAACGGUGAAACUCAAAGGAAUUGACGGGGGCCCGCACAAGCGGAGGAACAUGUGGUUUAAUUCGAUGAUACGCGAGGAACCUUACCCGGGCUUAAAUUGCAGAUGAAUUACGGUGAAAGCCGUAAGCCGCAAGGCAUCUGUGAAGGUGCUGCAUGGUUGUCGUCAGCUCGUGCCGUGAGGUGUCGGCUUAAGUGCCAUAACGAGCGCAACCCUUGUUGUCAGUUACUAACAGGUUCCGCUGAGGACUCUGACAAGACUGCCAUCGUAAGAUGUGAGGAAGGUGGGGAUGACGUCAAAUCAGCACGGCCCUUACGUCCGGGGCUACACACGUGUUACAAUGGGGGGUACAGAGGGCCGCUACCACGCGAGUGGAUGCCAAUCCCAAAAACCUCUCUCAGUUCGGACUGGAGUCUGCAACCCGACUCCACGAAGCUGGAUUCGCUAGUAAUCGCGCAUCAGCCACGGCGCGGUGAAUACGUUCCCGGGCCUUGUACACACCGCCCGUCAAGCCAUGGGAGCCGGGGGUACCUGAAGUGCGUAACCGCGAGGAGCGCCCUAGGGUAAAACUGGUGACUGGGGCU
rnacentral:rRNA from 1 species